rnacentral:rRNA from 1 species
CAGUAGCCACGGGAAUACGUAGGGGGCAAGCGUUGUCCGGAAUUAUUGGGCGUAAAGGGCUCGCAGGCGGUUUCUUAAGUCUGAUGUGAAAGCCCCCGGCUCAACCGGGGAGGGUCAUUGGAAACUGGGAAACUUGAGUGCAGAAGAGGAGAGUGGAAUUCCACGUGUAGCGGUGAAAUGCGUAGAGAUGUGGAGGAACACCAGUGGCGAAGGCGACUCUCUGGUCUGUAACUGACGCUGAGGAGCGAAAGCAUGGGGAGCGAACAGGAUUAGAUACCCGCGUAGUCCCUGUCUCUUAUAA